AUAUCAAGCCAAAAGGCCAUACCAGGCCAGUCACUGUAUCGACAUGACAUCUCUGUGUGGAGCUCAGACCAGUUUAGAUGUAUGUACCAGUACAGGAACGACCAGAACCAGGUGAAAAAUUCUCGUCUCAGUCUCCCCCAGACAUUGAAUGUACCAGGCCAGAAGCUGAUCCCGAGCACCGGCCGCAGCCCUGAGUAUCCACCGUCUCAGGAAGCCAUUCCCUCCUCUCACCCUGCAGCUGGCAGCAUCUCCU